rnacentral:rRNA from 1 species
UACGUAGGGGGCAAGCGUUGUCCGGAAUCAUUGGGCGUAAAGAGCGUGUAGGCGGCUUGGUAAGUCGGCUGUGAAAGUCGGGGGCUCAACCCUCGAAUGCCGGCCGAUACUGUCAAGCUAGAGUCCGGAAGAGGCGAGUGGAAUUCCUGGUGUAGCGGUGAAAUGCGCAGAUAUCGGGAGGAACACCCGUAGCGAAGGCGGCACUCUGGGCCGGAACUGACGCUGAGGAGCGAAAGCGUGGGGAGCAAACAGG